GUCCGAGUGGCGGAAUUGGCAGACGCGCUAGGUUGAGGGCCUAGUGAGCGCAUAGCUCAUGGGGGUUCAAGUCCCCCCUCGGACA
rnacentral:tRNA from 1 species